GACGAACGCUGGCGGCGUGCUUAACACAUGCAAGUCGAACGCUGAAGCCCUUUCGGGGGUGGAUGAGUGGCGAACGGGUGAGUAACACGUGGGUAAUCUGCCCUGCACUCUGGGAUAAGCCUUGGAAACGGGGUCUAAUACCGGAUAGGACACAUCGCCGCAUGGUGUGUGUGGAAAGUUCCGGCGGUGCAGGUUGAGCCCGCGGCCUAUCAGCUUGUUGGUGGGGUGAUGGCCUACCAAGGCGACGACGGGUAGCCGGCCUGAGAGGGUGACCGGCCACACUGGGACUGAGACACGGCCCAGACGCCUACGGGAGGCAGCAGUGGGGAAUCUUGCGCAAUGGGCGAAAGCCUGACGCAGCAACGCCGCGUGGGGGAUGACGGCCUUCGGGUUGUAAACCUCUUUCGACCGGGACGAAGGGUGACUGACGGUACCGGUAGAAGAAGCACCGGCUAACUACGUGCCAGCAGCCGCCUGUAA
rnacentral:rRNA from 1 species